AUGUUCCUGCUGGCUGAACGUUAAUGUAAUAAUUAGGAUGUCUAUAGACUUUUAAGCUUAGUAUGCAGUUCUAAAGGAAAGUGCUCAAGGAAAACUCGAUAUAAUUACCAAAGUAAUUUUGCCAACUGAUGAACAAAGUGAAAAAAGUAGGCGAAAAAACUUUUGUUGUGCUCACUCAUUCGUCAUUUUGGCAAAAUGUCAUCAAACAGGUAAAAAUUGGAAACAAUAAAUUUAAGUAAAGUUAUUUCUACAACUCCAGGUUUAAUUUUUUCAGAAACUGUGCUGAAUAUGAGGAGCACGUUGUUCUAAAUGUGGCCCAAUCCAUCGAAUAUACAUUCGGAGUUGAAUGUUACCGUCAGGAAGGUUCGUGACCACACCUAAAAAUUAAUACUAUAUUCGUCGUGGAUCAACUUCUGGAAGCUCUUGACUGGUUGCCGUAUGGAUGUAUCGCUAUGUUAUGUGCUGGAAUUCAAAGCAACCGCUGGCCAAUCCGUAGUUUUCCUCGAAAUCCGUUUGCAUCGAUUAACCUCUACGGACGCUUGUGUAUUGACAAGUCUUGACGGAUUCAUAAACUGUCCAUCGCAAUCGUGACAUUACCGCUAUCUUUAUUUUAAUUUCUAUAUCAACGUGAUUAUUUAUAAUUUUCAGUUCUUCAUUCGUUGUAGAGGACAAGACUAACGAGGCGCUUGGCCGAGGAGGAAGGCCUAAAACGUAGCUAUUCUCAGAUUCUAUCUAGUAAUCUUCCAUGGACAAUACAUAUUUCAAAAUCACGAUGUUAUACAAAUUAGAAUAAACAUCAUCAAGAACAAAGAUGACCAUACUCAAAUUUAGACAAAUUUAAAUAGUAUGGAAAUUUGUUCAGUGAUAAAAGCAGGUUGAAUAAAACGAGACAAGCACA